CUUUUAAACAUGUAGACAUAUACAUACGUCUAUCUGGCAUCCUACAUGACCAUUCUAUGUCCCAUGUGGCAUAUUAUGUCACGUAGGAUGUCGGUAUGUCUACUUGUUUAAUUUACUACUUGAAGGACAUAAAUAUCAGUUGAUGACAAAUCGUCUCUUUGUAGGAGGAGCAAGAGGAUAUUGUAAAGAGAAGAUCAUCUCCAAAUGAAGGCCUUAAUUUCCAUGAAAUUAAAGAGAUGAAGUAUCUU
rnacentral:lncRNA from 1 species